GCUUUCAGCCCCUGUGAGAGCAGGGGAAUCCCGGCCUUAUCAGCUGUUUCUGUUUGUCGGAGAUCUUAUCUGCGUUGCCUGGAGCGUUCCUGCCUUGCUUCUUUGUUGCCUUUGUUGCCUGCAGGGCACCUCCUGGAAUAUGCUGUUGCUUCACAGAAAAAGCUCCCUUUCUGUUACAGAGAAUUUCCAGCAUUCGCUGCUGGUGUUGCUUGAUUUCUAAACUGCUUGAUAUUCAGGAGUUGUUAUCUCUAGUUUUGGAGCUGAAACCAAUUUGGGGCUUUUCUCCUUCUGGGGGUUUCCCCCUUUGCGCUCCAUUCCAGCUGCUGCAGUUUAACACCGGAGCUGUAAUUGAGCUAAAAAUCACUGUGUGUGUGUUUGUGUGCUUUCCUUCCAGCAUCUCUUUCACGUCUACAGUUUUACAGGGAGCUCUGUGUGUUUCGGUGCAAGUUCCCUGCCCUCAGGAGCUUCUCGUGCCUGCUGCUGCAUGCCCCCUUCAGAGGAAUUUAUUCAGCUUUGUGGAGCUUUUUCUGCUGUGAUCCGUUGCUUGCCCUCGGCUGUUGACUGCCUGUUCUGCAAGGAGCUCAAGGAAGAACGUUUGGCUCCUCUUCGUUAUUUCCACGGAGGACGCAGCGCACCCAUCCAAUCAGGUUUUGCUGUUGGGGCUUCAGGUUUUAGCUAGGGGUUUUUGCAGGGGAGUGGUGCAAUUAGGCGGAACGGCAGCUGCGGGAGGAGAGCGGGCUGCGUUUUGUGCCGGUUGUGUUUCAUUUUCUUGCUGGGGUGAGGGGCAGAAUUUCUUGUUAAAUAAUCAUUUCAGCAGCAUUCUUGAGGGGGUGAGUGGCUUCCACAGAGCAUCGCUUCCUCUACAGGCUGUUUUAUUUUCGCGCAGAAGUUUAGACUUGGAAAGCCUCGGAAGCAGCUGCGCCGUUGCCGGGCAACCAGCGCGCCCCGGCCGCCAUUUCAUCCGCCCACGUGCCCUUCUGGGCGGCCGCCAUUUUACUAUAGGCAUUCCACGUGGGAAGUAACUUUACAAACCCUCCCUUUUAAGCUUAACCGGCGAGAAAACCAGGGGAAUAAUUAACGUUCAUAAGGGGUAUGUGGGGAAUGCCUGCAGGUUUUGCUCUUGAGGCUGCAGAAUUUUUCAGUGUUAAAGGGCUAGCGUUAAGUGUUUUCGCAUGUGUUCAUUGUCGCUAGGCAACGGGAACGCAUUACGGCUGCCAUUUUGAUUGCCCACGUGGCCUUGCGGUGGCAGCCAUUUUAGGAGAGGCAAAACCACGUGGGAGCUAUCUCCUUUCCGAGUGCCCCUCACUUUCUCAUUGGUUAUAAAUUCAAAAGCAAUAUAAACAAAGGAAAUAAACAUAAGCAAUAUAAACAAAGGAAAUAAACAUAAGCAAUAUAAACAAAGGAUGAUGGCGCAAUUAAAAGAGCCUAGCUUAAAUAAGAGCGCACAAGGGGCUGCAGGGAGCCCUUCCUCUUGGUGCAUAAGCUUGUAUAGAGCUGGCUACAGCGUCUCUGGCUAGGCUGAUCUUAGAAUUGAUAUCCUAUAAUUAAUUUGACUGCUUUUGUUUAUACUUACACUCUUGAGAAUUUCAUUAGUCAAUUCAUAGUUAUAAGGAAAAAGAGAUCCGGGUUUUAUAUCAUUUGAUUUAUUAAAGGGCUUCUUCGCCUGCAAAAUAAUCUUUGCAUACAGGUUUAUAGGGAAUCUAAAGUAAAUAGCUCAUGCCUCUUCUACGUUCAUCUCUUUCUGGUAUUUCAUCUGUUAGUUUAUAAGUAUAUAUUUAAUCUGGCAAUUUAAUUCAUUUGGUUGAUUUUGAUAAUAGUGCUUAAGGGCUCUUGGGAGCUUUGCUUAUAGGUUUGUUGCAUAAGUCAAUUUAAUCAUUUUUCACUGCUGUAUUGCUGUGUUACAAUUUAUAAUUCUACCUCUAGCUUGCUGCAUAGCUGCUUACAUUAUCAAAGGUUCUCUUCUGUUUAGUAUAGACUCAGUAUUCCUCUAAAUACAUUGCUUUGAGGUGUGGGCUGGUAUUUUGGACUGCUAUCCAGUGCAGAUAAUACUGAGCUACGGUGAUAUUGUUUUCAGCUAAAUACAAUUUGUUGGAGAUUAGUUAGGCAUCUUUGGGUCCUUUAAACUUAGCAGUGCAGACAAUACUGAACUACCAUGAUAUUGCUCGCAGCUCACGCAUAUAAUCCAAGCUAGUUGGCGUUGAUUUUACAGAACCAGGCUAAUUAAGGGUAUCAAACUAUGUCUGCUCAAGAGAACCAGCAAUAUGCCGCUAUAUCUGGGGUGGCACAAGGGAACCAGGAGGGGUCCCAGGCCUUCGUAGUGCCUAGUAACCCACAGGCUUUGGCACAGUUGUUCAAUGCUUUUUAGACAUUUUAUAGGCAAUAUAGGCCCGCAGACCAGGUGGCAGCGGUACCUCUGGCGCUCACCCAAGAAUGCAUCCCGGAUACGCCACCUAACGUUGUGGACCGCCCCGGCACCUCCGCGGCCACCGCGGCAGUGCUGAGAGCAGCCAAUGAUUCAACAGUGGGUCCGUGUCCGAGAUGGGUCAGGGUAGCCUCCUGUGCCCUGCAACCCACAGGCCUAGUCAGUGUUUCCUCUGCUUUUGAAACCUUUUACCAGCAAUUCAGGCCCAUGGUCACUGCGGCCUCUCCCCAAAUAGUGAGUACUUCCGUCCAGCAAUGAGGAGCUCCCUUGCACUUUGGCCUCCUUAUUUAGGGUUCCACAUUCGGGUAGCAAUCCAUUUAUGCAUCCUCACACAUAAUUACAGUCUACGUGUCCCUGGGUUUCCAAUGACAGAUCCUCGGGAGGUAGGGUUCAUGCUCACAAUUAUAACCUUUCUGCCUCUCAGUAUACCCCAGACUUUCCCAGUAUUCUACAGCAUUCACAACCUCAGUCUUUACUGUGGAAGGGGGCUCCGAAACAUCAUCGGAGGAAGAGACGCAGGGGCAAUAGGAAGUGGCAGCGGCUGCAGAACAGCACCAGUCUCCAAUGAUGGGCAAGGGAGAAAGAAGUCUAAGUAAGAAGAAGCAUUCGGCCAAGAAGUGCAAAAGAAGUAAGCCUUCUGAUGCCGAGGACUAUUCAGAAAAGCUUCCUGCUGCCCACCACCUGCUGGGUUCCGAGCGACCAGAAUUACUGGAUGGAGCAUAUGGGUCCCUAUGUGGAAAAAGGAAAGUUGGAAAAUUUGAAGCUAAGCGAGUCCCUCACCAUGAGGUUUGCUGGGAGUACAACACGGGUGUGUGCCAGGGGCCAAAUUGUAAGUAUGCGCAUGAAUAUGAGAAGUGCCGAGGUAACCACCCAGCAUCUUCAUGUUUUAAAGGUAAACAGCCUUUCCGGGCAGCAGGGGGCAUUUCCACCAGCGGUCUUGAAAAGCUCACAGACCCACCAAAAAGAACAGCCACAAACUGGACACAGGCCUGGCCAGAAAUGCAGACCAUCUUGCAAGACUUUGAUGAGACUUCGCAAGAUCUUGCAGGAAAUCAGGACCUAUCCUAGCACCACUUCUCUGGCAGAGGUGGGGGCGUGGCAGGAGGCGCCCACAAGGGUGUGGCCUUGGGGGCUUCUGCUGCCUGAGGCAGCUACUUCAUGCCACUUCAUGGGUGGGGUGGCCUUGCCUGAGGUCAUUAUGGGCAUACACACUGGUAUCUGUUUACCUGUAAGCACAUACCUUUAUUUUAUUUUUAAUAUGAGUUUCUUAAUCUACUAGAUUUGCACAAAACAGCAGCAGUGUCUCUGUGUGUGUGUGUUUGUGUGUAUGUCCCCACGCCAGGAAAGCUGAGAUCUAUGGGUAUUUGUCUACAUGUGCACAUACACCUUUUGUGAUCUACCAUGGUUGCACAAAAAGCAGUCCCAAAAUAAAAAUAAGCAAUGCCUCACUCCAAACUAGUUAAGUAUUUGGAAGGCUGUUUGUGGCUUCAUGCCCCUCCCUUUCCUCUCCAUCUCUCGUACCCAUGGGAAUAGCGAAGUGGUGGCUGGGUGGUUGUAUCUGAGGAUGUGCUUCCCCCCAGCAGUAGCAUUUUGUCCUCAAUAUUCUAUUUAUUGGGCAUUUUACUUGUGAUUUCAACUUUGAAUUUCUGAAAAAAAGCUUCCCCCCCAAAGAAUUCUGAGAACUAUAGUUCACUAUGGGCACCGGGAAUUUUAGCUCUGUGAGGGGUUAACUACAGUCCCCGGGAUUCUUUGAGGAAAGUCGUGGUCUUUAAGUGCCCUGCUUUAAAAGUUUAAAUUAAGAUUUUAAAUAUU